CAGAAUACUAUUUGAGACACAAAAUUGCUGGAUCAAUUCUAACAACUAUCACGUCAGACUACACAGAGAAGCCAUUGAAAUCCACAAGCAUGUGGACUACUUCAACAGAAAGGAAGAAAGCCAUGAAAAUGAACAAAAUCUGGCUACCAGUAUUACAAAACUCAAAAAUCAGAACAGUAAAUAAAAAGCAAUACUCUGAAAACAGAGGGUUUCCAGACAUGAAUCAAUCAAGGGCAGUUAACGACUCUAAACAAAGGAUGCCCCAGAGGCAGGAAGAAGACAGCAGAUAAGCUUUUCAAUGCUAAUUCAAGUGAUUAACUACACAUUCACACUGACCUCUCUCACCCUAGACUUUCCACAGAUAUAUAUUAACCUCUUUGCUUAGUUUUCUCCAUACCUCACAACCUCUGAGGAUGCCUGCCAUAGAUGUGGGCGAAACGUCAGGAGAGAAUGCUUCUGGAACAUGGCCACACAGCCCAAAAGACAUACAACAACCCUGUGAUCCCGGCCAUGAAAGCCUUCGACAACACUUUGAACUGAUUGGUUGCUGCUCCCGCCCAGAAACAAAGGGGAAAAACCCCAAAAAACCCCAAACAGGCCAAUCUGGGUCCCACACACAAGGGGAGGCUCUGCAACAACAAGGCAAGUAUAGGUGGUUAUAGCCAUGCCGGCCAAGAAGGGGACUAUUCAUCGGAGGAGCACCAGGCUGCAAGCCCAGAGACAGGACCAAGUGAACCCCAAAAAGCCACACGGAAAAAGCCGCACAGCACCUGGAGGCAAAAAACAACCCACCGAAGUGAACCGAGUGACAAAAUUAUCGCAUGCCCCGGGGAAGGAUAGAAGGUUGGUCCUGGCAAAAGGAAGAGGCAGCCUUAAGAGGCAUCUGCCGGGGGUGAGAAACAGCGAAGGCCAGGAGGAAAAAAGAAGGAAGAGCAUUGAAUAUGGAGAAAUGAGCCAGGAGGAGGACAGCUCGAAAAUCCUGGGAGAAAUCAUGUUGGGCUUUGGCUCCGACGGCAGACCAACGUUGAGAAGAAUUGUGCCAUCUUGGAUCAAAGAACUAGCAAGAGAGAUAUCGAAUUCAGUGGCACCAGAGACUAUGCGGGUAUACAAGGAGGCCGUGGCCAGGUUCUUUUCAUUUAAGGUGGCCGUGGGAUAUAGUCCGGGCUGGCCGGCUUUGGAGGAUGAAGUGCUUCAUUACUUGGUGCACCACAAGAGGAAGGGGUUAGACCCGGACACUUUGCGCAUUCACUCGGAUGGGAUAUCCUUUUUCAAGAAAGUCGUGGGCUUGGCAGACCCUGGUGCGUCCUUCCGGGUUAAAAUGGUAUUGAAAGGCAUGAAACGGAGUACGAUGGGGCACCAUACGGGGACAAACACUAAGAGGGCGAUCACGUAUAGUCAGCUCACGGCCUUGGUCCGGCAAUUGGAAAUGAUAUGCCAUUCCAAAGCGGAAGCGUGCCUCUUCCGGGCAGCCUUCACCUUGGCCUUCUUUGGGUCGUUGAAGACAAGCCAACUGGUGGCCGACUCCAAGACGGAUGUCUCCGGGAGAGCCCUUCGGCUCAAGGACAUCUCAUUUGGGGACAAGGCUGUAACCAUCAAAACCAGGGACUGGGGAGGAAGGAGGGUCGUGGUGGAGGUAAAGGGGUUAGCACAAGGGGAGCUCUGCCCAUACCGGGUGCUUAAAGAGUUCCUAAUGAUACGAGGGAUGGUCCCAGGGACACUGUUGGUACACCAAGACGGGACACCUCUCACCCGCUACCAGUUUUGGGCAGUUUUCAGGAUGACAUUGAAACGAUUAGGGCUUCCGGCAUCUGAGUUUGGCGAACACUCCUUUAGUAUGGGAGCAGCACAGGGAGAGUUGCCCACUGGCAUCGUUGGUAGGACACAGACCACAUCUAACCAAAUGCCAAGGCAUGGGCCAACAACAUCUGACCCAUUUUGGUGGUUAUUUGGAGGAAGUAGGGCAUUAGGCAGGUAA
rnacentral:lncRNA from 1 species